AGACUGGAAUUCCUGGUGUAGCGGUGAAAUGCGCAGAUAUCAGGAGGAACACCGAUGGCGAAGGCAGGUCUCUGGGCUGUAACUGACGCUGAGGAGCGAAAGCAUGGGGAGCGAACAGGAUUAGAUACCCUGGUAGUCCAUGCCGUAAACGUUGGGCACUAGGUGUGGGGGACAUUCCACGUUUUCCGCGCCGUAGCUAACGCAUUAAGUGCCCCGCCUGGGGAGUACGGCCGCAAGGCUAAAACUCAAAGGAAUUGACGGGGGCCCGCACAAGCGGCGGAGCAUGCGGAUUAAUUCGAUGCAACGCGAAGAACCUUACCAAGGCUUGACAUGAACCGGAAAGACCUGGAAACAGGUGCCCCGCUUGCGGUCGGUUUACAGGUGGUGCAUGGUUGUCGUCAGCUCGUGUCGUGAGAUGUUGGGUUAAGUCCCGCAACGAGCGCAACCCUCGUUCUAUGUUGCCAGCGCGUUAUGGCGGGGACUCAUAGGAGACUGCCGGGGUCAACUCGGAGGAAGGUGGGGACGACGUCAAAUCAUCAUGCCCCUUAUGUCUUGGGCUUCACGCAUGCUACAAUGGCCGGUACAAAGGGUUGCGAUACUGUGAGGUGGAGCUAAUCCCAAAAAGCCGGUCUCAGUUCGGAUUGGGGUCUGCAACUCGACCCCAUGAAGUCGGAGUCGCUAGUAAUCGCAGAUCAGCAACGCUGCGGUGAAUACGUUCCCGGGCCUUGUACACACCGCCCGUCAAGUCACGAAAGUUGGUAACACCCGAAGCCGGUGGCCUAACCCUUGUGGGGGGAGCC
rnacentral:rRNA from 1 species